AGAGAGAGAGAGAGAGAGAGAGAGAGGGGACGUCUUCUCUCUCUCUAACGACAAGGGGAAGAAUGGGUGACUCAGGAAUUCCUUUCCUUCGUCUUUACGAAAACCUUGGCUCCUCUCUUUCUCUCGUUGCGUCUGGCAGUUUUCUUAGAGAGAGAAAGGGUGAAGGAAAAUGCCUGUUGGAGAUCUGCAGAACGAAGGAUUAUUCCAGCACCAUCAGAUACAUUUGAGAUUUUGUUGGAGGAGAGAGAGGGUACGUAGGUUUUAGAGAGAGAGAGAGAGAAAGUUUUAGAGAGAGAAAGAGUGAGCGAGUUUUAGAGAGAGAGAGGUGAUGGGGGCCCAACUGGGAACGGAAGGGAGGUAUUUGUGAGGGUUUGGCUUGGAUUUCGGUCCGCUUCUCAAGUGAUAACGUGGUUUACGUG
rnacentral:lncRNA from 1 species